UACAGGGGGUGCAAACGUUGCUCGGAAUCAUUGGGCGUAAAGCGCACGUAGGCGGUUUGUUAUGUCGGAUGUGAAAGCCCUUGGCUCAACUGAGGAAGUGCAUCCGAAACUGGCAGGCUAGAGUACUAAAGAGGAUCGCGGAAUUCCCGGUGUAGAGGUGAAAUUCGUAGAUAUCGGGAGGAACACCGGUGGCGAAGGCGGCGAUCUGGGUAGAUACUGACGCUGAGGUGCGAAAGCGUGGGGAGCAAACAGG
rnacentral:rRNA from 1 species